CCCCAGACUCCUACGGGAGGCAGCAGUGGGGAAUAUUGCACAAUGGGGGAAACCCUGAUGCAGCGACGCCGCGUGAGUGAGGAAGUAUUUCGGUAUGUAAAGCUCUAUCAGCAGGGAAGAAAAUGACGGUACCUGACUAAGAAGCCCCGGCUAACUACGUGCCAGCAGCCGCGGUAAUACGUAGGGGGCAAGCGUUAUCCGGAUUUACUGGGUGUAAAGGGAGCGUAGACGGAAUUGCAAGUCUGAUGUGAAAAUCCGGGGCCCAACCCCGGAACUGCAUUGGAAACUGUAUUUCUAGAGUGUCGGAGAGGCAAGUGGAAUUCCUGGUGUAGCGGUGAAAUGCAUAGAUAUCACGCAGAACUCCGAUUGCGAAGGCAGCGCACCGGCGCCCUACUGACGCUCAGGCACGAAAGCGUGGGUAUCGAACAGGAUUAGAUACCCGAGUA
rnacentral:rRNA from 1 species